rnacentral:rRNA from 1 species
GCGCACCAGGCGAGAAUUUUUCUCAAUGGGGGCAACCCUGAAGGAGCGACGCCGCGUGGAGGAUGAAGGCUUUCGGGUCGUAAACUCCUGUCAUUUGAGAACAAGUGCCAACACCUAACUACUGUUGGCUUGAUAGUAUCAGAAGAGGAAGGGACGGCUAACUCUGUGCCAGCAGCCGCGGUAAUACAGAGGUCCCAAGCGUUGUUCGGAUUCAUUGGGCGUAAAGGGUGCGUAGGUGGCGCCGUAAGUGGGGUGUGAAAUUCCGGAGCUUAACUCCGAAACUGCAUUCCAUACUGCGGUGCUUGAGGACUGGAGAGGAGACUGGAAUUUACGGUGUAGCAGUGAAAUGCGUAGAGAUCGUAAGGAAGACCAGUGGCGAAGGCGGGUCUCUGGACAGUUCCUGACACUGAGGCACGAAGGCCAGGGGAGCGAACGGGAUUAGAUACCCGGGUAGU